rfam:Glycine soja cultivar W05 scaffold1966_15, whole genome shotgun sequence.
GAUCUAUUAACUUAGUUGGUUAGAGUGUUGUGCUAAUAAUGUGAAAGUCACAAGUUCGAGUUUUGUUUAGACCA